rnacentral:rRNA from 1 species
AUUAACGCUAGCGGCAGGCAUAAUACAUGCAAGUUGAACGGCAGCACAGGUAGCAAUACUGGGUGGCGAGUGGCGCACGGGUGCGUAACACGUAUGCAACCUACCCUAUACAGGCGAAUAACCUUUAGAAAUGAGGGCUAAUACGCCGUAGUAUUACAGAUGGGCAUCUAUUUGUAACUAAAGAUUUAUCGGUAUAGGAUGGGCAUGCGUCCCAUUAGUUAGUUGGUAAGGUAACGGCUUACCAAGACGAUGAUGGGUAGGGG